CAGUCGGCCACGGUAAAACAGAGGGUGCGAGCGUUAAUCGGAAUUACUGGGCGUAAAGCGCGCGUAGACGGUUUGGUAAGUCAGAUGUGAAAUCCCUGGGCUCAACCUGGGAACUGCAUUUGAUACUGCCUGGCUAGAGUAUCGAAGAGGGAAGUGGAAUUUCCGGUGUAGCGGUGAAAUGCGUAGAUAUGCGGAGGAACACUGAUGGCGAAGGCAGCCCCCUGGGCCAAUACUGACGCUCGUGCACGAAAGCGUGGGGAGCAAACAGGAUUAGAUACCCGAGUAGUCCCUGUCUCUUAUA
rnacentral:rRNA from 1 species